AUGGUGUGUGCACCGGAGAGGAUGACCAGGUCCUCCGCGUCGAGGCCCUUGACGACGAAGCUGUCCACGAGGUCGCUGAGGUUGGACGUGGGUGGGACGAGGAAGUUGACCGGCUCGGAGGCGUUGGAGAAGGUGCCGUCGCGGCGGCCGGACGGCACCUCGAAGUCCACCUUGCCGGCGCUGAGGAUGCAGGACGCGUCGCGGGCCGAGAAAGCGAUGAUGUCGGCGCAGGAGACGACGCCCGGGCAGGCCGCCUCGAGGGCGUCUUUGAUGGCGUCGAUCAGCUCGAAGCCGCGCAGGGAGGGAUUGUUGGGCGCGCUGAGCUUCUCAGGCGUUGGGCUGAACGGGGUCGGGUCCAGGAGGACCGAAGCGUCACAGCCCUAA
rnacentral:rRNA from 1 species